AGUGAACGCUGGCGGUAGGCCUAACACAUGCAAGUCGAACGGCAGCACAGUAAGAGCUUGCUCUUACGGGUGGCGAGUGGCGGACGGGUGAGGAAUACAUCGGAAUCUACUUUUUCGUGGGGGAUAACGUAGGGAAACUUACGCUAAUACCGCAUACGACCUACGGGUGAAAGCAGGGGAUCUUCGGACCUUGCGCGAUUGAAUGAGCCGAUGUCGGAUUAGCUAGUUGGCGGGGUAAAGGCCCACCAAGGCGACGAUCCGUAGCUGGUCUGAGAGGAUGAUCAGCCACACUGGAACUGAGACGCGGUCCAGACUCCUACGGGAGGCAGCAGUGGGGAAUAUUGGACAAAGGGCGCAAGCCUGAUCCAGCCAUACUGCGUGGGUGAAGAAGGCCUUCGGGUUGUAAAGCCCUUUUGUUGGGAAAGAAAAGCAGCAGGUUAAUACCCCGCUGUUCUGACGGUACCCAAAGAAUAAGCACCGGCUAACUUCGUG
rnacentral:rRNA from 1 species